GAGCCCCUGGUCUAUAGGCUCUUAGAUAAUGGUCUGUAAAAACUAAUUAUCUGCAAGGGCUGGGCAUGGACUUAAUAAUUAAACCAUUUUCCCAUAUGCUGACCCUUAUGGAGAUUGAAGAUGUGUAAUAUAAGGUUUUACAAAAGAGAAAGGUGAUCAAAUUGUGGCCAAAAGGCCAACUGAGGCCUGCAGAGUCUUAGAGCAGAGGCCAUGAAAGCCCUCUCCUUGUAAUUGCAGUGAAGACAAGGCUGCUCAACUGCAGGCCUUUAUUACAGACAAUGUAAACAGAAAGCAAUUUACCUCCUACUAAAGCAAAAUCCUCCUACUGAGGAGAAUAAAAAUAACUACAGAUUCUGUGACUUCUGCACUGAUUUUUGACUAUAUAAAUAAAUAACAGCAGGGUAACUUUUAUUCUUUGGGGCCCUGGAAAUUUGCCAAGAGUGUCCCUUGUGCCAUGAAGAUCAUUAUUAUCCUAGGUAUUUGGCUAGAUUUCUGGCUAAUGCCAGGAUUAUGAGGGCUGGAUUUGGGUAACUAUUUGGUUUUACUGUUUGCUGCUACAGUCAAAUCUGAAUUGGGCAUGCACUGAUGAAAAACGUAUGAGAAUGUCUUUGCUGAGAAUAUGGAUCAUGGUACGUCUGAUGUAGCAUAUCUCCUUCUAACAAACACAAAGUGUAAAUUUGGCUGUCAGACCCAAAACGAUAUGUGUUUGGGGCGGGGAGGAGUCAUGGAGGAGGUUUGCGCUUACCAAAAGGAGGAAAGGUAUUUUGAAUAAGAGCUCAGUGAACAAGAUCAGAGGAAAAAAAAUAUCCUGUCAGUAGUACUCUUUGAAGACUUCUGUUAGCCUCACAAAAAUUCUUAAAAUACCAUUAUCAAGUGCAUAAGCUCAGGAAGACAAUGAUCACAUGUUUCUCUUUCAGACACACAAUGGAUGGCAGAAAGCAAUGCAGACUAAGAUGUGUGGUAGGGGCUGGAGGAAGCCUCACAACUGAAGUCUGCUAUACCGGAAACCUUUUCGCAACUUAAGCAGUCCUGCAAGAAUUAAGUGUUUCUCCUGGCUGAGGGAUGGUGCCAGACACAAACACUUCUCUAACAGUGUUUGGAAAUUUUUAAAAACCCUCUAACUUGAAUGCGUGUGGAAAAGUAGUUUGUGACCUUCCCAUCACAGUUACAUACUUCCUGAAAGAACCAUGAAAAUACUUCACUUUAAAAGCUUAUAUGUGAGCUAGAGGUCCAGAUGUGAGGAGAAGAGAAUUACCACAAAAUCAUGAUUGGGUCUCCAUCCUGGCUAACAAAGAAGAGUUAUAUAAUACAAUGCUAC